UUAUCAGAUUUGUUGCAAGGUUCUAACAAGUCUGAUACAGUCGUGAUAUAACGAGAAUCUUACAAGGUUGUAACAAUAUUGUUAUAUCAUGACUGUAUCGGACUUGUUGGAGCAACCUUGCAACAAGUCUGAUAA